AACUGCUCCGGUGGCCUAGUUGUUAGAGCUUCCGCCUUGGGUGUGGGAGGUCGUGUGUUCGAUCCCCAGUCGAGUUA